rnacentral:rRNA from 1 species
CGGGGUGCACCAGGCGCGAAAACUUUGCAAUGCGGGAAACCGUGACAAGGGAACUCUGAGUGCCCGUAAAAUCGGGCUGUCCAUCGGUUUAAAUAACCGGUGAAGAAAGGGCCGGGCAAGACCGGUGCCAGCCGCCGCGGUAAUACCGGCGGCUCGAGUGGUGGCCACUAUUACUGGGCUUAAAGCGUUCGUAGCUGGUUUGUUAAGUCUCUGGGGAAAUCUUCCGGCUUAACCGGAAGGCGUCUCAGGGAUACUGGCAGACUAGGGACCGGGAGAGGUGAGAGGUACUCCAGGGGUAGGAGUGAAAUCCUGUAAUCCUUGGGGGACCACCUGUGGCGAAGGCGUCUCACCAGAACGGCUCCGACAGUGAGGGACGAAAGCUGGGGGAGCAAACCGGAUUAGAUACCCGGGUAGUCCCAGCUGUAAACGAUGCGCGUUAGGUGUAUCAGUGACCACGAGUCACUGAGGUGCCGAAGAGAAAUCGUGAAACGUGCCGCCUGGGAAGUACGGUCGCAAGGCUGAAACUUAAAGGAAUUGGCGGGGGAGCACAAGGGCGAAUNG